rnacentral:rRNA from 1 species
GACGAACGCUGGCGGCGUGCUUAACACAUGCAAGUCGAACGGAAAGGCCCUGCUUGUUUGGGGUUCUGGAGUGCGGAACGGGUGAGUAACACGUGAGUAACCUGCCCUUGACUUUGGGAUAACUUCAGGAAACGGGGGCUAAUACCGGAUAGGAGCUCCUGCUGCAUUGUGGGGGUGGGAAAGUUUCGGCGGUUGGGGAUGGAUUCGCGGCUUAUCAGCUUGUUGGUGGGGUAGGGGCUGACCAAGGCUUUGACGGGUCGCCGGCCUGAGAGGGUGAACGGCCACAUUGGGACUGAGAUACGGCGCAGACUCCUACGGGAGGCAGCAGUCGGGAAUCUUGCACAAUGGGAGGAAGCCUGAUGCAGAAACGUCGCGUGCGGGAUGACGGCCUUCGGGUUGUAAACAGCUUCCGCCUGUGACGAAGCGUGAGUGACGGUAAUGGGUAAAGAAGCACCGGCUAACUACGUG